AAUAGAUACCCGGGUAGUCCACGCCGUAAACGAUGUCGACUUGGAGGUUGUGCCCUUGAGGCGUGGCUUCCGGAGCUAACGCGUUAAGUCGACCGCCUGGGGAGUACGGCCGCAAGGUUAAAACUCAAAUGAAUUGACGGGGGCCCGCACAAGCGGUGGAGCAUGUGGUUUAAUUCGAUGCAACGCGAAGAACCUUACCUACUCUUGACAUCCAGAGAACUUAGCAGAGAUGCUUUGGUGCCUUCGGGAACUCUGAGACAGGUGCUGCAUGGCUGUCGUCAGCUCGUGUUGUGAAAUGUUGGGUUAAGUCCCGCAACGAGCGCAACCCUUAUCCUUUGUUGCCAGCGGUUUAGGCCGGGAACUCAAAGGAGACUGCCAGUGAUAAACUGGAGGAAGGUGGGGAUGACGUCAAGUCAUCAUGGCCCUUACGAGUAGGGCUACACACGUGCUACAAUGGCAUAUACAAAGAGAAGCGACCUCGCGAGAGCAAGCGGACCUCAUAAAGUAUGUCGUAGUCCGGA
rnacentral:rRNA from 1 species